rnacentral:rRNA from 1 species
AGCACGCUUCGGCGUGUGACUGCGUACCUUUUGUAUAAUGGGUCAGCGACUUAUAUUCUGUAGCAAGGUUAACCGAAUAGGGGAGCCGAAGGGAAACCGAGUCUUAACUGGGCGUUAAGUUGCAGGGUAUAGACCCGAAACCCGGUGAUCUAGCCAUGGGCAGGUUGAAGGUUGGGUAACACUAACUGGAGGACCGAACCGACUAAUGUUGAAAAAUUAGCGGAUGACUUGUGGCUGGGGGUGAAAGGCCAAUCAAACCGGGAGAUAGCUGGUUCUCCCCGAAAGCUAUUUAGGUAGCGCCUCGUGAAUUCAUCUCCGGGGGUAGAGCACUGUUUCGGCAAGGGGGUCAUCCCGACUUACCAACCCGAUGCAAACUGCGAAUACCGGAGAAUGUUAUCACGGGAGACACACGGCGGGUGCUAACGUCCGUCGUGAAGAGGGAAACAACCCAGACCGCCAGCUAAGGUCCCAAAGUCAUGGUUAAGUGGGAAACGAUGUGGGAAGGCCCAGACAGCCAGGAUGUUGGCUUAGAAGCAGCCAUCAUUUAAAGAAAGCGUAAUAGCUCACUGGUCGAGUCGGCCUGCGCGGAAGAUGUAACGGGGCUAAACCAUG